GAUGAACGCUGGCGGCGUGCCUAAUACAUGCAAGUCGAGCGAACGGACGAUAAGCUUGCUUCUCUGAUUUUAGCGGCUGACGGGUGAGUAACACGUGUAUAACCUACCUAUAAUACUGGUAUAACUUCGGGAAACCGGAUCUAAUACCGUUUAAUAUUUUGUACCGCAUUUUUCUAAAGUGAAUGACGGUCUUUCUGUCACUUAUAGAUGUUUCCUCGCUGCAUUAGAUAGUUGGUAAGGUAACGGCUUACCAAGGCAACGAUGCAUAGCCGACAUGAGAGGGGGAUCGGCGAAACUGGAACGGAGACACGGAACAGAAGACUAAGGGAGGAAGCAGAAGGGAAUAUGACGCAAUGGGCGAAAGCAUGACGGAGCAAAGCCGAGGGAGAGAUGAAGGAAUACGGAUCGUAAAACUCUGUUAUGAGGGAAGAAAAUAAGUGUAAGAAAAUGUGAACAGAAUGACGGUAACAAAACAGAAAGCAACGGCUAACUACGUG
rnacentral:rRNA from 1 species